CCUCACUUUCCUUCCAGUCUUCUUCUGAUCCAUCCUCAGUGUCUUCAAAGGAUAGUCCCAUGGACUUCCACAGCUGUGAGGUCUCCUCCUGUAUUUUCUCACUUCCCUCUUGUCUCUCCUCUCCUUUUUGCCUCGGGUCUUCAUGUCUCUCCCUCUCCAUUUCUUUGUGUAUUUGAAUUUCUACUUCAUCUCUUUUUCGCUCCAUCACCACUCUCACUUUCUCAAUCUCCUCUCUCUUUCUCACCAUCUCUGCUUUAGCUCUCUCAAUCUCUAUCCCUCUUUCCUGUCUCUGUCUAUUCAGCUCUGUCUCAACUCUCACUUUCUCAAUCUCCUCUCUGUUUCUCUCUGUUUCCCGUCUCUCCAACUCAUCCAUCCACAAGUCAUCGGAGUCAGUCGCCCGGUCGCUGUCAUCGCUGUCUCCUGAAAGAGUCUCCCCCCUCCUGUUCAUCACCUCUUCAGUCUUUCUCAUCUCCUCCUUUUCUCUCACUUUUCUUGCCUCCUCUCUUGCUUUCUCCUCCUCAAUCUCUAUCUUUCUCCUCUCGUCCUCUUUUUGCUCCUUCUGUGCUGCUUUCUCCAUCUCCUCUUUCUUUCUCACCAUCUCUGCUAUCAUCAUCUCCUCCAUCCUUUUCUCCUGUUCUUCUCUUUUUUGCUCUGUCUCAACUCUCACUUUCUCAAUCUCCUCUCUCUUUCUCUCUGUUUCCCGUCUCUCCAACUCAUCCAUCCACAAGUCAUCGGAGUCAGUCGCCCAGUCGCUGUCAUCGCUGUCUCCUGACAGAGCCUCCCCCCUCCUGUUCAUCACCUCUUUAGUCUUUCUCAUCUCCUCCCUUUCUCUCACUUCUUUCUUCUCCUCAAUCUCUUUCUUUUUCCUCUCGUCCUCUUUUUGCUCCUUCUGUGCUGCUUUCUCCAUCUCUUUUUUCUUUCUUUCAUCCUCUAUCUUUUGGACUAUUUCUAAGUCUCCGCUCAUCCUGAGUGUCUUGUUUUCUUUCUGUGCUACCAUCUCCCCCUUUUUUCUCUCUUUUUUCUUUCCUCCGUUGUCCACAUCUCUCAUCCUCUUUUCGUCCAUCUGCCUCUGUUUCUCUCUCUCUGCAUCCUCUU
ensembl:lncRNA